AGAAUUAUGUAAACCAUCAUGCACACUGGACUACAUGUCCAGAAACCUCUACUUUUAUGGCUUUUUUUCGGCUAAUGUUUUAACUUUUCUACAUCGAUGUUAAAAUUUACUGAAUAAAGUCCUGUGCUAAAGUG